AGCACAGAACCAGCAGGACGAAGACGAGCGGCUGCAGCAGCUCCCCGCGCUCCUCUUGCUCGCGCAGAUCUGAAAGAGGCACAGAGGCCGUGCCUGGCUGGACGCGGUUACAGGGCCCCAUGAACAGAACGGAGCCUGGAGAAUGCCCGACAUAACUCGAGGAGGGAUGUGGUCUGGCCGGGGAUGUCUGCACUGAAGAGGCUCCUGGCUGAGUGAGGGCAUUGGACGGCCUGCAGAGCAAAGCAAGUAAAUGCAAAACUUACAGCUAUCCUCCCUCAGACACCUCACAGACUGUACUGGUGCUUGAAAAAAAGAAAUCAUACACACGGAACUUCAACCUGAAACUUCAUAACAAAAAAAGUUCACUAAG